UUUGCUACAUAUUAACAUUGGGAAGUUUUCCUUUGUGUUAAAAAAGAGAGAAACAGGAGAAAUCGCCUUGUGUACAGAUUCCUAAGGCAGGUUGGCAUCCAUCAAAGCUUUAUGACGUGCCCCACGGGUGUUGGUAAGAGCUGGCCUGUGCUGUAUGUGCUAUGGAUGACCUCCCCUUCCUGCAGCCAUCACUGCCGCACAAGCAAUUACCAGAAAUUAAGAGUGACAUUGUUUCUGGAGCAGGGAGAAGACAGAGCCCUGCUGCUGCAUCCCAGCAGUGGAACAGACAGGCCAGUUGCCCUUUGGAAGCUGCUGAGAGGGACUCGCUGGCCACGGCGGAAGCACGCCCACUGCUGAAGCUGAGCUUGCUCUCUCUUCUCUAUAGGUGAAGUGGAAACCAGCAGUACUUUGUCCUCACAGUGACUGAUCCUCAAUUGUUGAUGAAAAAGCAACAGUUGAUGUGCUAACUAUGAUGCCUGUGUGCCACCGCUGUAUUCUCUGAGAAUAAAUGGCCAUCAUCCUUCUCAAAAGAAAUCAGCUCGAGAGAGAGAGAUGGAAGUUGCUCCUUCAAAGUCUUCUGGGGGAACCAAGCAGAAUUCAGUUCCCAUACAGCACUGAGCAAUCCUGCUAAAGAAAGGAGCUUGUCACUGCUAAAGAAAGGGUGGCAUUUCCCUGGAAGCAUGGCCAUAUAUUUUUGGUCCAAUGACCAUUACUGUAGAAGGACUUCAUUCAGGCCCAGAUCUGCAAGCCAGGACCACCGCAGACCUGAGGAGUAUGAAGAGUGGGACUCAUCUCAGCUUGCACUAACCGGGAGAUUUCUACACUGGUUCUUGGAUCCUCUCAUUACAGAAGACCCCUGGAAUUCUGAUGAGAAGCGGUGAAACUCUAUAGAGAUUUGUCACUUUCAGCUGGGCCUGAUUAACCAGAGCUCAACCUCAGAGACACUCAGGAUAAGCCUGGCAAAUCUCCCCAUAAGUCUAGGAGCAGGUAUUGGUCUUCAACAUAGGACUGAUGAAACAAAACCCUCAACUGAUGAAAACUGACAAUGUGCAAUGUACAGAAAGCCCUCGAUGGAUACUACUGAGGAAAAGGAAAGUGGAAUUAUUCUUCUCUUCAACCAUCCCAGGCCUGAGUGUGGUUUGAAAAAAAAAAAAAAGAUGGAACACAAAUUUUUCAUGGAGCUCAUAAUUCAAUACCAAACUGAAAUUUAUUUCAAACGGACUCUUUCUGGAGCAAGAAAUUUGAGAUUUUUUAUCACCCUCGUU